UUGUUGUUCAUAGUGGUCACGGAAGAGACAUGUCGAAAUCUAAUUUCAGUAAUCAAGUUUAUUUUUAUUGCAAGAAGAAAUGACACAUCAAGAAGGAUUGCAACAUGCUGGCUACAAAAUUAGAAGGGAAAGCAAUUAGAAACUAUAGGUGAAGCUAGUGUUGAGGAGAACUACUCGAGAGAUGGAGAUGUGUUGGCUAUUUUUGACAGAGUCCCAACCUGACGAAGAUUAGAUUUUGGAUAUAGCUUGUGCCUUUUCAUAUAUGUCCCUAUUGAGAUUUAUUUUCAAUUUAAGAAAUAGUUUCAACAAUUGUCAUGGUUUAGAAACAAUGUACCUUGUCUAGUAGCCCGUAUUGGUAGAAUUAGACUUAAGCUAGGGGAUAAGACAGUUAGAAUACUUGAUCAGGUACGACGUGUUUCAAAUUUGAAGAAAAAUCUCAUCUUGUUAAGCAUUCUUGAGUUUAAAGGGUACAAAUUCUUUGGUGGAGGAAAAGUUUUGAGCGUUUGCAAAGGUGUUCGUGUUGUAUUGGAGGGACAGAAAAAGUCUUGCAAGGUUGCACAGAAUGCUUGAAUAACAAUCAGCAAAGGUUUAUUAUCAUGGUGGAUAUUCAGUUUAGUACAAUACCAUUGAGAUUUAAUUUGGGGUCCAUGUUAAAGAAUACAACCCACUCAAGUUCAAGGAUAUGGGUAGUGUUGCUUUACCACUACCCGUGGUGCCAUCGUAUUUUUUAUUAGGGACUGACCCAAUGAAGAUAGGUAGGUAAGUCGAUACUGAUUUUUUGCACAUGAUUUAAGUGUAUUUGAAGGUGUUGAAUCUAAUAAAGGGCCUUCUACAAAAGUAUUUUGUGUUGAUUCUAUUUCAGGCUGUGUUUCGAUUUUGUUUGGUAAAUUUUCAAUCAUUUGUGAUUUUUGGUUGAACCCGAGGUGAUUAUGAGGAACAGUGUUUGAAUUAAUUUAUCCUAGUUGGAUAUCCUGGUAAAGGUGGAGAAUUUAUUAUUCAUUGGAGAAGUUACUGUUGUUCGUGUUGAAGAGUUCAGUUCUUUCCUUGCAAUUGAAUUCUCUCUUCAGUUAAGAAAUUUUGGAGUUUCAUUCAUUGCAAUGAAAAUCGUGAAAAUGAGAAGAUUGUUGGGGGUUGUGAUCCAAAUUCAAUUGUUUUUUUUCUAAAAAAAAUAUUGUUUCCUUUAUUCCAUGCG
rnacentral:lncRNA from 1 species